rnacentral:lncRNA from 1 species
GACUCCUUCAGCGCGCUGCCUGCCUGCCCAGGGCCUUCCCGGAGAGCAGGUGACGGCGGCCUCCGGGCAUGGAGCUCGCGCUGACGAAAGGUUCUGGAAGCCGCCGUAAAAAGUAAUCAAGAAACGGGUGACAGGACUUUUCCCCUUUGAGGAACCGUUUGAGGUGUGGCACGAUACAGCAAGUCAGCUGCCAAAGAGGGGCUUAGCCACAGGAACAGUUCUAUGAGGCUGGCUGCCCUGUUUGACAACUGAGGCCCGCAUCUUCCCCGGAAUCACCGACGUGUGGCUCUGAGCCCUGUCCCAGGGAUUUUCUCCAUCAGAGAAGAGGAGCACUUUGAGCUUUGAGAGGAGCAGCCCUCUGCAAGUGAAGUGGAAAAAAAGGAAGCAGGCGAGGAGGCCCAUCCAGACCCUCCCCCAAGACCCUUGCUGAAAUGGCUGGGAUGCGGCGUGCAGAAGCUCUCCUUUCCUUCACAGCCCCUGGCUUUCCAAGAGUCCCUGCCCACCCAGAUGCCCGCUGGCAGAUGCAGCCUCAUCUCAAGGACACUGCUUGCUGGAUAAAUCCCUCACCACCCUAGAGACAGCCCACGGUCCUGAGACAAGGAUGCGGGCCAGGCUUGUUGCACGUAAGCGCCUCCCGCAGAAACCAGUGAGGCCGGAGUUCCAGAGGAAAUGAUGUAGGGACAGAGGCAGAGGGCCUCCAGGAGGCACCAGCCCCAGAGUCUUCCCUAGAAUCAGACUUUAAGCACAAGCAGGGAGGGAAAGCACUUGAGCAGUGCCCGUCCCUGCAUACCUGGCCUCUGCUGGAACCCAUGCAGGGACAGGACACUUCUUUAUCAGCAAUCCUGUUCCUCUCCUGGGCAGCUUCAACCUGAACAUCCUCCUUCACCUUGAGCUAAAAUGGGUUUCUUGUCACCCUUGCCCAUCAAACCUGGCCUUGCCCUCAGGAACCACACAGGACAAGCCUAAUACUUCCUUCUUGUGGCAACACUUUAGCAAUUGAGACCUGGCUGUCAGGUCCUCCAAAUAAACAUUUGUGACUGUGA